GCCAGAAUGGUGUAGUGGUUUGAACACCAGACUGUGACUCUGGAGACCAGGGUUUGAAUCCCAGCUUGGCCA